GCCUCGGUGGUGGAAUUGGUAGACGCGCCGGACUCAAAAUCCGGUGCCGCAAGGCGUGUCGGUUCGAGUCCGACCCGAGGCACCA
rnacentral:tRNA from 1 species